rnacentral:rRNA from 1 species
GUAGGGUCCAAGCGUUAAUCGGAAUUACUGGGCGUAAAGCGUGCGCAGGCGGUUUGCUAAGACCGAUGUGAAAUCCCCGGGCUUAACCUGGGAACUGCAUUGGUGACUGGCAGGCUAGAGUAUGGCAGAGGGGGGUAGAAUUCCACGUGUAGCAGUGAAAUGCGUAGAGAUGUGGAGGAAUACCGAUGGCGAAGGCAGCCCCCUGGGCCAAUACUGACGCUCAUGCACGAAAGCGUGGGGAGCAAACAGGAUUAGAUACCCUGGUAGUCCACGCCCUAAACGAUGUCAACUAGUUGUUGGGGAUUCAUUUCCUUAGUAACGUAGCUAACGCGUGAAGUUGACCGCCUGGGGAGUACGGUCGCAAGAUUA